rnacentral:rRNA from 1 species
GUGCAGCAGGCGCGAAACCUCCGCAAUGCUCGAAAGAGCGACGGGGGGACUCCAAGUGCCUACGCUCAGCGUAGGCUGUUCCCGAGCCUAAAAAGCUCGGGGAGUAAGGGCUGGGUAAGACGGGUGCCAGCCGCCGCGGUAAUACCCGCAGCCCGAGUGGUGGCCGCUAUUAUUGGGCCUAAAGCGUCCGUAGCCGGCUCGGUAAAUGCCUGGGUAAAUCGUCUGGCCCAACCAGACGAAUUCCGGGUAGACUGCCGGGCUAGGGACCGGAGGAGGGAGAGGGUACUCCAGGGGUAGGGGUGAAAUCAGCAAGGUGAGUUGCUGAUGUAACUUGCCUUGCAAGUCACAAUCCUGUAAUCCCUGGAGGACCACCGGUGGCGAAGGCGCUCUCCUAGGACGGGUCCGACGGUGAGGGACGAAAGCCAGGGGAGCAAACCGGAUUAGAUACCCGCGUAGU